rnacentral:rRNA from 1 species
AUGGAGUCUAUCAUUGUACGUUCCAAUGAUCUGUUGCUGGACAAGUAUGAGAACUGGAUAUGUUUAUUGGCGCUUAAAGAGAAGAAAGAUUGCUUCAGACGCCUAUACCUGGAUAGGAGUGCAGACAACAUAGAGAAGUACAAGAUGGCGAAGAAGGCCGCAAAGCGAGCUGUUGGUGAAGCAAGGGGUCGGGCAUAUGAGGACCUCUACCAACGGUUAGGCACGAAGGAAGGUGAAAGGGACAUCUAUAAGAUGGCUAAGAUCCGGGAGAGGAAGACGAGGGAUAUUGGCCAAGUCAAAUGCAUCAAGGACGGAGCAGGCCAACUCUUGGUGAAGGACAAAGAGAUUAAGCAUAGAUGGCGGGAGUACUUCGACAAGCUGUUCAAUGGGGAGAAUGAGAGUUCUACCAUUGAACUGAAUGACUCCUUUGAUGAGACCAGCAUGCGUUUUGUGCGGCGCAUCCAGGAGUCUGAGGUGAAGGAGGCUUUAAAAAGGAUGAAAGGAGGCAAGGCGAUGGGCCCUGAUUGUAUCCCCAUUGAGGUGUGGAAAGGUCUCGGGGACAUAGCGAUAGUAUGGCUAACCAAGCUUUUCAACCUCAUUUUUCGGGCAAACAAGAUGCCAGAAGAAUGGAGACGGAGUAUAUUAGUACCAAUCUUCAAGAACAAGGGGGAUGUUCAGAGUUGUACUAAUUACCGUGGAAUUAAGCUGAUGAGCCAUACAAUGAAGCUAUGGGAGAGAGUCAUUGAGCACCGCUUAAGAAGAAUGACAAGCGUGACCAAAAAUCAGUUUGGUUUCAUGCCUGGGAGGUCGACCAUGGAAGCCAUUUUCUUGGUACGACAACUUAUGGAGAGAUAUAGGGAGCAUAAGAAGGACUUGCAUAUGGUGUUCAUUGACUUGGAGAAGGCCUAUGAUAAGAUACCGCAGAAUGUCAUGUGGUGGGCCUUGGAGAAACACAAAGUCCCAGCAAAGUACAUUACCCUCAUCAAGGACAUGUACAAUAAUGUUGUGACAAGUGUUCUAACAAGUGAUGUCGACACCGAUGACUUCCCGAUUAAGAUAGGACUGCAUCAGGGGUCAGCUUUGAGCCCUUAUCUUUUUGCAUUGGUGAUGGAUGAGGUCACAAGGGGUAUACAAGGAGAUAUCCCAUGGUGUAUGCUCUUUGCGGAUGAUGUGGUGCUAGUUGACGAUAGUCGGACGGGGGUAAAUAGGAAGUUAGAGUUAUGGAGACAAACCUUGGAAUCGAAAGGGUUUAGGCUUAGUAGAACUAAAACCGAGUACAUGAUGUGCGGUUUCAGUACUACUAGCUGUGAGGAGGAGGAGGUUAGCCUUGAUGGCCAGGUGGUACCUCGGAAGGACACCUUUCGGUAUUUGGGGUCAAUGUUGCAGGAGGAUGGGGGUAUUGAUGAAGAUGUGAACCAUCGAAUCAAAGCCGGAUGGAUGAAGUGGCGCCAAGCUUCUGGCAUUCUCUGUGACAAGAGAGUGACAAAAGCUAAAAGGCAAGUUCUACAGGACGGCGGUUCGACCCGCAAUGUUGUAUGGCGCGGAGUGUUGGCCGACUAA